GUAAACUGGGCAUGGCCAUCCACCCUGCCUGCACAGGGCAGUGGGGGACUUUCCUCUGGCCUACGCUGCCCGCUACAUGGAGCUGCCUUUCCCCUAUAACAGGCAGUGUCUUCUACCUAAAACUCGGAAGGAUCCUUGAAUGAGAAGGCUCUGGGAAAGAGAUGUCCAGGGAGGAAAGAAGACUCAGUAGAAUAGAAACGAUGAGUGGGAGUGUGGGAACAUUUUGUGAAUAUAGUCAAGGCUGAAGACAUAAGGACAACAACAAACAAGUAAAAAAACCAGGUAUGAUGUUGCUGUUAGCUACCGUCACAUUGGCCACCAACUCAUGAUGACCCCACGCACAAUGGAACAAAAUGCUGCCUGGUCCUGCAGCACCCCCACAAUUGGUGGUGGAUUGAACUGCUGUGAUCCGUCAGGUUUUCAUUAUCUGAUUUUCGGAAGUAGAUCAGAUCUUUCUUCCCAGUGCACGUAAGUCUGGAAGCUCCACUGAAACCUGUUCAGCAUCCUAACGACACACAAACCUCCCUCGACAGACACUGGCUGCACGUGAGGUGCACUGACCGGGAAUCAACUCUUGGUCUGCGUGGAGGAUUCCAAAGAGGAAAGACCAAGACAUAACAUCUAUGGCAAAAUACUGACAGAAGAAUAAUUAAUUUUAAUUCCAGAAGGUUUAUUUAUCAGCGCUGCCAUACUGAUCAUUCAAACAUGGAGGACUGGGGGAGCUAACCAGCCAGCUCUGCACACGAAACGCCACUGUAGAAAAAUAGUCAAGGACGUAUGCUGGGCUAUCUUCAAAUGGAGUUGAACCUGUUUCUUUGGUCAGUUUCAAAAUUUGUAGUCAAAAUGGCAGAAAAAAUAGUGGUUUACAAUGGAUAGUAGUACAAGAUGGUGACCUCAAAUUAAUGGAGAUAGAUGCUACAUUGAAAAGCUGUGGGGAUGAGUAAGUAAUGAGAAACGUGGUUGGGUUACAAAUAAAUAUGGAAGGAAAACUAGAAAACUGAAAAAAAAAAAGAUAUGAGGAUGAUUGUGGUCAAGAUGGAACAAAUUUGGGAGAGAAGAUUCGGAGCGUCACAGGGAGUGAAAGAUUAAGAGCUAUGCUUUGGAGAUGAAUGGAGAACUUAGAAAAGUGAGGACUCAGUGAAUAGAGAAAGUUGGGGGAAGACAAAGAAAUGAAGUAUAGGGAAUACAGCUGGCAGUGGAUACACAACACUGACUCUGUGACGCAGCCUGGUGUGCUUGGGCUCUUUCCAUCUCACUCGUGUUCUCUCACAUGCCCAGGUUCCCGGCGUCCAGGGGAUAAACCUACAAUACAGGAAGAUGUGACUGGGUAUGGUACCCUUAAGGAUCUAGAAGGUGGGCCCUGAGUUGGGAGGUUAAAGCUAUGCUAGCGGGAAGGCAAUGAAUAUCUGGGGUGUAGAUCUGGUAUGAGUUUUGGGUUGAAAACUAAUGAUCAGGUAUAACUAUUAGAUAUAUCUAUUUCCUUUUUCUUUUUGGUAGUUGAAGGUAGGACUUGGCUAUUAACUGAAAGGUUGAAGGUUCGAGUCCAUCCAGAGGCAUCCUGGAAGAAAAACCUGAUGACUUUCUAAAAAAUCAACCAUUGAAAACCUUAUGAAGCACAAUUCUACUCGGACACGCUUAGGGUGACCAUAAGUCAGAGUCGAUUGGACAAUAACUUGU